rnacentral:rRNA from 1 species
GUCUACGGCCAUACCACCCUGAACAUGCCUGAUCUUGUCUGAUCUCGGAAGCUAAACAGGGUCAGGCCUGGUUAGUACUUGGAUGGGAGAUAUAUAAACACAUCUAUAUCUGUCUCAA